GAUGAACGCUGGCGGCGUGCUUAACACAUGCAAGUCGAACGGAAAGGCCUGUUUUUGCUGGGGUACUGGGGUGGCGAACGUGUGAGUAACGCGUGGGUGACCUGCCUAGUACUUCGGGAUAAUGCUGGGAAACUGGGUCUAAUACCGGUUAGUACGGUGGGGUGUAUGGCAUUGUGGAAAGUUUGUGCGGUGUGGGUUGAGCGCGUGGCGUAUGGGCUUGUUGGUGUGGGAAUGGCCUACGAAGGCGUGGACGGGUAGCCGGCCUGAGAGGGUGUACGGCCACAUUGGGAAUGAGAUACGGCGCAGACUCCGACGGGAGGCAGCAGUGGGGAAUAUUGCACAAUGGGCGCAAGCCUGAUGCAGCGACGCCGCGUGGGGGAUGACGGCCUCCGGGUUGUAACCUCCUUUCGCUAGGGACGAAGCGCAAGUGACGGUACCUGGAGAAGAAGCACCGGCUAACUACGUG
rnacentral:rRNA from 1 species